ACUAAAAGUGGAAAAUAUGUGCGGUGGAGUAGAUCCAUCACUGAUUGUUACAUAUCAAUUGAAGCAUUGAAGGGUGGCGAAUAUUGCAGCUUACUAAUAUGGAUGUGAGGUAAGGAAUUAAAUUACUUAGUAUUACAAUGCUAAUGUCAGGACCAUCUUCCCUUUUUGAUAUUCACUUGAUUUCUUUAUUAGAGUAACUAAUAAAGUUUAUUUCACAUAGUUAUUUACCAUUAAAAAAGUACUAAAAAAAUGAUGGACUGAAAAGCGAUACCAUUUGCCACACUGUCCGUCGCUUUUUAAUAAAAAUAAUUAUUUUUAAAAUUAUUUUACAAAAAGCGACGGACGUCAUCUCUUAGUCCGUCAUUUUUUUUGCGGAUUUUAGCGCCAUAUGUAUAAUGAAUUACUAAUUAUUUAUUUAAUAUAAAUGGCAACCCCGUCCGUCGCUUUUAUUAAAAAUAAUUAUAUCAAAUUAAAAAAUAACGACUUAGUCCGUUGUUUUAUCAUAGCGACGGACGACAACAUUAUGUUUGUUGCUUCUUGGUCAAAAUAUAUGGUCAUUAUUUUAAUAAAGUGAUGGACAGUGUCUCCUAGUCUGUCGCUUUUUGGUCGAAAUGUUGGUCAAUUAUAUUUAAAUAAAGCGACGGACUUAGAGGCGUUGUCCAUCGCUUUUAUUAAAUAUCUGAAAGAUAGAUCAGGUUUUUCUUAUUUUCUUCUCUCUCUCUCUCUCAACCCUUAUUCUGUCCGUUCUCUUUAUCGAUCUCCCUGCACAUCGCCCUUUCCCGUCGCCAUGGCCGGUCGUCGUCGCUGUUCGUGAGUGCCAGCUACUAUCUCUCUUAUUUUGUUAACGACAAACCAAAAAGACUAGAGACAAGCUUAAGGAUGGCUCGUUGCACAUCAGAGUGCAAAGACCAUUAGAGCAAUUGUAAGAGAAAUAGAAAAAAAUUGGGACGCACUCCCAUUGUACCGGAGGUUUUCAAGAAGACUCAUGUCAGGAAGAAAGAGAAUGUAUCGGAUCCAGAUGUGCGGGUGGAGGAAAGGGAUGAACAAAUUUUAAUGAGUUUCAUCAAUACGUCGUCGAGAAUCUAGAUAGUUCGGUCCAAUUGACACCUGAACUUUUCACCCAGAUUUGGAAAGAAAAAGUGGUACCGGAAACACAAGGGUAGAGUUUAUGGUCUAGGCUGUCGAAAUAAUGUAAGACGACUCCAGUCAGGCUUAGAAGGUAUUGGAUUGUCACAUCAAGACGAGGCACUUGAUGGUGUUCAAAUUGUUGCUAUGUCGGCUCAAAUAGCUAAACUUACAGCGGCACUGGCAGAGUCCGAGUGCAGAAGAGUAGAUGAACAAGAAAUUAUGAGUGAGACCAUUCAGUAAAUCAAAAAACAAGUGACGAACCUCGAUUGUCAACCUACUACUUCGGUUCCCGAUGACACCGACGAUGAUAGUGAUGAGGAUGCUUAUGCAGAUCCCACUCCCUAGUUUAGAUCUCUAGACAUAUGAACUUUUUAAAAUUUUGAAAUGAAUUUUGAAAGACUUUAUAACUUUAAUUUGUAUUUUAGAUACUUCUGAAUGUUAUUUAAGUUUGUUGUUUA